rnacentral:rRNA from 1 species
GGUUAAGCGACUAAGCGUACACGGUGGAUGCCCUGGCAGUCAGAGGCGAUGAAGGACGUGCUAAUCUGCGAAAAGCGCCGGCGAGGUGAUAUGAACCUUUGACCCGGCGAUGUCCGAAUGGGGAAACCCAGUGUGAUUCGUCACACUAUCGUUAACUGAAUACAUAGGUUAACGAGGCGAACCGGGGGAACUGAAACAUCUAAGUACCCCGAGGAAAAGAAAUCAACCGAGAUUCCCCCAGUAGCGGCGAGCGAACGGGGAGCAGCCCAGAGUCUGAAUCAGCUUGUGUGUUAGUGGAAGCGUCUGGAAAGUCGCACGGUACAGGGUGACAGUCCCGUACACGAAAGCACACAGGUUGUGAACUCGAAGAGUAGGGCGGGACACGUGGUAUCCUGUCUGAAUAUGGGGGGACCAUCCUCCAAGGCUAAAUACUCCUGACUGACCGAUAGUGAACCAGUACCGUGAGGGAAAGGCGAAAAGAACCCCGGCGAGGGGAGUGAAAAAGAACCUGAAACCGUGUACGUACAAGCAGUGGGAGCACCUUCGUGGUGUGACUGCGUACCUUUUGUAUAAUGGGUCAGCGACUUAUAUUCUGUAGCAAGGUUAACCGUAUAGGGGAGCCGAAGGGAAACCGAGUCUUAACUGGGCGUUAAGUUGCAGGGUAUAGACCCGAAACCCGGUGAUCUAGCCAUGGGCAGGUUGAAGGUUGGGUAACACUAACUGGAGGACCGAACCGACUAAUGUUGAAAAAUUAGCGGAUGACUUGUGGCUGGGGGUGAAAGGCCAAUCAAACCGGGAGAUAGCUGGUUCUCCCCGAAAGCUAUUUAGGUAGCGCCUCGUGAACUCAUCUUCGGGGGUAGAGCACUGUUUCGGCUAGGGGGCCAUCCCGGCUUACCAACCCGAUGCAAACUACGAAUACCGAAGAAUGUUAUCACGGGAGACACACGGCGGGUGCUAACGUCCGUCGUGAAGAGGGAAACAACCCAGACCGCCAGCUAAGGUCCCAAAGUCAUGGUUAAGUGGGAAACGAUGUGGGAAGGCACAGACAGCCAGGAUGUUGGCUUAGAAGCAGCCAUCAUUUAAAGAAAGCGUAAUAGCUCACUGGUCGAGUCGGCCUGCGCGGAAGAUGUAACGGGGCUAAACCAUGCACCGAAGCUGCGGCAGCGACGCUUAGGCGUUGUUGGGUAGGGGAGCGUUCUGUAAGCCGUUGAAGGUGUGCUGUGAGGCAUGCUGGAGGUAUCAGAAGUGCGAAUGCUGACAUAAGUAACGAUAAAGCGGGUGAAAAGCCCGCUCGCCGGAAGACCAAGGGUUCCUGUCCAACGUUAAUCGGGGCAGGGUGAGUCGACCCCUAAGGCGAGGCCGAAAGGCGUAGUCGAUGGGAAACAGGUUAAUAUUCCUGUACUUGGUGUUACUGCGAAGGGGGGACGGAGAAGGCUAUGUUAGCCGGGCGACGGUUGUCCCGGUUUAAGCAUGUAGGCGGAGGUUCCAGGUAAAUCCGGUACCUUUUAACGCUGAGGUGUGAUGACGAGGCACUACGGUGCUGAAGUAACAAAUGCCCUGCUUCCAGGAAAAGCCUCUAAGCAUCAGGUAACACGAAAUCGUACCCCAAACCGACACAGGUGGUCAGGUAGAGAAUACCAAGGCGCUUGAGAGAACUCGGGUGAAGGAACUAGGCAAAAUGGUGCCGUAACUUCGGGAGAAGGCACGCUGAUAUGUAGGUGAAGCCCCUGCGGGUGGAGCUGAAAUCAGUCGAAGAUACCAGCUGGCUGCAACUGUUUAUUAAAAACACAGCACUGUGCAAACACGAAAGUGGACGUAUACGGUGUGACGCCUGCCCGGUGCCGGAAGGUUAAUUGAUGGGGUUAGCGGCAACGCGAAGCUCUUGAUCGAAGCCCCGGUAAACGGCGGCCGUAACUAUAACGGUCCUAAGGUAGCGAAAUUCCUUGUCGGGUAAGUUCCGACCUGCACGAAUGGCGUAAUGAUGGCCAGGCUGUCUCCACCCGAGACUCAGUGAAAUUGAACUCGCUGUGAAGAUGCAGUGUACCCGCGGCAAGACGGAAAGACCCCGUGAACCUUUACUAUAGCUUGACACUGAACACUGGUCCUUGAUGUGUAGGAUAGGUGGGAGGCUUUGAAGCGUGGACGCCAGUCUGCGUGGAGCCAACCUUGAAAUACCACCCUUUAAUGGCUGGUGUUCUAACGUAGACCCGUAAUCCGGGUUGCGGACAGUGUCUGGUGGGUAGUUUGACUGGGGCGGUCUCCUCCCAAAGAGUAACGGAGGAGCACGAAGGUUAGCUAAUCCUGGUCGGACAUCAGGAGGUUAGUGCAAUGGCAUAAGCUAGCUUGACUGCGAGAGUGACGGCUCGAGCAGGUGCGAAAGCAGGUCAUAGUGAUCCGGUGGUUCUGAAUGGAAGGGCCAUCGCUCAACGGAUAAAAGGUACUCCGGGGAUAACAGGCUGAUACCGCCCAAGAGUUCAUAUCGACGGCGGUGUUUGGCACCUCGAUGUCGGCUCAUCACAUCCUGGGGCUGAAGUAGGUCCCAAGGGUAUGGCUGUUCGCCAUUUAAAGUGGUACGCGAGCUGGGUUUAGAACGUCGUGAGACAGUUCGGUCCCUAUCUGCCGUGGGCGCUGGAGAAUUGAGGGGGGCUGCUCCUAGUACGAGAGGACCGGAGUGGACGCAUCACUGGUGUUCGGGUUGUCAUGCCAAUGGCACUGCCCGGUAGCUAAAUGCGGAAAAGAUAAGUGCUGAAAGCAUCUAAGCACGAAACUUGCCCCGAGAUGAGUUCUCCCUGACCCUUUAAGGGUCCUGAAGGAACGUUGAAGACUACGACGUUGAUAGGUCGGGUGUGUAAGCGCAGCGAUGCGUUGAGCUAACCGAUACUAAUGAACCGUGAGGCUUAACCUU